rnacentral:lncRNA from 1 species
GCACAUGAUGGUUGUUUUCAGUGUUCCAGAGUGUUUCAGGAAGGAAAAGUGAAGGGAAUCCAUUGUUGGUCCAGAGGUUAGAACUACAACAAUGGGUAGAAGCCAUAUAAACAGCAGUGGUUCUGAACCUUGACUUCACAAUGGAACCUCCUGGGGAGCCUUAAAAAGUAACUUAUGCCUGAGCUUUACCCCCCCAGAGAUUCUGAUUUAAUUUGUGUGAAUUGCUGCCUGGGCAUCAGGAUAACUCAUUUUAGAGAGAUUUUUUACAAAAAAUUUUUGAAGCUAGUAUUUGAUUAAUUAGCAGCUUCAGUUUACUAGAAUAUCCCAUUUCCCCAAACUGAUUACAUGAGGUCUUGCUAUUUUUUAACUCCUUAUUUUGAAAAAAUUUCAAAUCUAUAGAACAGUAACAGUACAAUGAACUCAUGUGUACUCUUACCUAGAUUUAUAAUGUUUAACUUCACCACAUUUGCUUUAUAUCUUUCUAAAUGUACGUAAUUGUUACUGCUGAAUCAUUUGAGGGUAAGUUGAAGGCCCUUCAUCUUUAAAUACCUCAUGAUCUAUAUCUCCUAAGAACAAGGAUAUUCUCUCACAUAACUACAGUACAAUUAUAUAAUUCAGAGAAGUUAACAUCAGUACAAUAUUAUCUUCUACUAUAUAGUCCAUAUUCAAACUUGCCAGUUGUCCCAGUAAUGUCCUGUAUAGCAAUUUCUGCUUUAGGGUCCAGUGUGGGAACACUUAUUGCAUUUAGUUUGUCAUAUCUCUUUAGCAUUCUUCAAUUUUUAGUAGGUCCUCACCCUUUCUUUUUUUGUCUUUCAUGACAUUUUUGAGGUGAGGCCUUUUGUAGAACGUCUCUCGGUUUGGGUUCUUAUGACUGAAUUCAGGUUAUGCAUUUUUGGCUAAAAUAUUACAUAAGCUGUAUGUCCUCAAUACAUCACAUCGAGAGGUAUAUGUCAAUUUGCCCUUUUACUGGUGGAGGUAACAUUGACAACUUGAUUUUAAGGUAGUGUCUGUCAGAUUUCUGCAGAGGUAAAGAUACUUUUUUCCUUUGUAAUUAAAAAGUUAUCUGUAUAGGGACUUCCCUGGUGGCGCAGUGCUUAAGAAUCCGCCUGCCAAUGCAGGGGACACGGGUUCAGGCCCUGGUCUGGGAAGAUCCCACAUGCCGCGGAGCAACUAAGCCCGUGCGCCACAACUACUGAGCCUGCGUGCUGCAACUACUGAAGCCCGCGAGCCUAGAGUCCAUGCUCUGCAACAAGAGAAGCCACCACAGUGUGAAGCCCACGCACCGCAACGAAGAGUAGCUCCCGCUCACCACAACCAGAGAAAGCCCGUGCGCAGCACCGAAGACCCAACGCAGACAAAAAUAAAAUAAAUAAAUUUACCA